rnacentral:rRNA from 1 species
AGAGUUUGAUCCUGGCUCAGAACGAACGCUGGCGGCAGGCUUAACACAUGCAAGUCGAACGUGAAGCAGGAGCUUGCUCCUGUGGAAAGUGGCAGACGGGUGAGUAACGCGUGGGAAUUUACCCAGUGGUUCGGAAUAACGCAUGGAAACGUGUGCUAAUACCGGAUACGCCCUCCGGGGGAAAGAUUUAUCGCCAUUGGAUGAGCCCGCGUCGGAUUAGCUAGUUGGUGAGGUAAUGGCUCACCAAGGCGACGAUCCGUAGCUGGUCUGAGAGGAUGAUCAGCCACACUGGGACUGAGACACGGCCCAGACUCCUACGGGAGGCAGCAGUGGGGAAUAUUGCGCAAUGGGGGAAACCCUGACGCAGCCAUGCCGCGUGAGUGAAGAAGGCCUUAGGGUUGUAAAACUCUUUCAGUGGUGAAGAUAAUGACGGUAGCCACAGAAGAAGCCCCGGCCAACUCCGUGCCAGCAGCCGCGGUAAUACGGAGGGGGCUAGCGUUGUUCGGAAUUACUGGGCGUAAAGCGCGCGUAGGCGGGCUGGUUAGUUGGGGGUGAAAUCCCAGGGCUCAACCCUGGAACUGCCCUCAAUACUGCCAGUCUUGAGUUCGAGAGAGGUAAGUGGAAUUCCUAGUGUAGAGGUGAAAUUCGUAGAUAUUAGGAAGAACACCAGUGGCGAAGGCGGCUUACUGGCUCGAUACU